GACGAACGCUGGCGGCGUGCUUAACACAUGCAAGUGGUGCGACGAACCAGGCUUCGGCCUGGGGCAGAGCCGCGAACGGGUGAGUAACACGUGGGCAAUCUGCCCUGUUGAUCGGGACAACCCGGGGAGACCCGGGCUAAUACCGAAUGUGGUGCCGGCUCAUGAGAGCCGUCACGACAGGAAGCUUCGGCCUCCGCGACAGGAUGGGCCCGCGGCCCAUUAGCUUGUUGGUGGGGUAAUGGCCUACCAAGGCAACGAUGGGUAGCUGGUCUGAGAGGACGAUCAGCCACACUGGGACUGAGACACGGCCCAGACUCCUACGGGAGGCUGCAGUGGGGAAUCUUGCGCAAUGAGCGACAGCUUGACGCAGCAACGCCGCGUGGGGGAAGAAGGCUUUCGGGUCGUAAACCCCUUUCAGUUAGGACGAAGCUUUAUUGGUUACUAACCAAUUGGAGUGACGGUACUUUCAGAAGAAGCCCCGGCUAACUACGUGCCAGCAGCCGCGGUAA
rnacentral:rRNA from 1 species